CUAGCUGUAAACGAUGAGCACUGGAUCGAGGGACCUCCCACAGUUUCUCGGUCGUAGCGAAAGUGUUAAGUGCUCCGCCUGGGGAGUAUGGUCGCAAGGCUGAAACUCAAAAGAAUUGACGGGGGCUCACACAAGCGGUGGAGGAUGUGGCUUAAUUCGAGGCUACGCGAAGAACCUUAUCCUAGUCUUGACAUGCUUGAGAAUCUCCCUGAAAGGGGAGAGUGCUCUUCGGAGAGCUCUUGCACAGGUGC
rnacentral:rRNA from 1 species